rnacentral:lncRNA from 1 species
CACCCCAGCACCUCCCUGCCCUGCUUUGUGGUAAGAACCCUCGGUGCCAAUCAGGAAGACAUAAUGGUAUUGGAGAUGAUUCAGAGAAGAGAAUUUCAAAUGAUCAAGGGGAUAAGAAAGCUGUCUUAUAAGGAUAAACUACAAAGAACAAAAGUUUUCAAGCUAGAAAAACCAGGCUGAAAAGUAAGGAUGAUCAAAGUCUCUAAAGUUAUGAAGUCGAUGGAAAAAAUGAACAUGAAUGUUUUAAAAUCGAAAAAUAGCACAACAACA